AGUGAACGCUGGCGGUAGGCCUAACACAUGCAAGUCGAACGGCAGCACAGUAAGAGCUUGCUCUUACGGGUGGCGAGUGGCGGACGGGUGAGGAAUACAUCGGAAUCUACUUUUUCGUGGGGGAUAACGUAGGGAAACUUACGCUAAUACCGCAUACGACCUACGGGUGAAGGCAGGGGAUCUUCGGACCUUGCGCGAUUGAAUGAGCCGAUGUCGGAUUAGCUAGUUGGCGGGGUAAAGGCCCACCAAGGCGACGAUCCGUAGCUGGUCUGAGAGGAUGAGUAGAAACACUGGAAAUGAGAGACGGUGCAGAAUCAUACGGGAGGCAGCAGGGGGGAAUAUUGGAGAAUGGGAGAAAUAAGGAGAAAGACAGAAAGGGGAGGUGAAGAAGGUAGUAGGAUGGGAAAGCAUUUCGGGGGGGAAAGAAAAGAAGCAGGUUAAGAACCCGCGGUGCUGAAGGGAAAAAAAGAAUAAGAACAGGCUAACUUAGUG
rnacentral:rRNA from 1 species